rnacentral:piRNA from 1 species
UNGGUGACUGCCAAGGGAUAACCUAAACGGG